rnacentral:rRNA from 1 species
CGGGCCGCACAGCGUGAGUAUGUGGUUUAAUUCGAUGCAACGCGAAGAACCUUACCUGGUCUUGACAUCCCGGAGACCCUUAGGAAACUAGGGGGUGCUUCCAUCUGGAAGAAUCUGGAGACAGGUGCUGCAUGGCUGUCGUCAGCUCGUGUCGUGAGAUGUUGGGUUAAGUCCCGCAACGAGCGCAACCCUUGCCUUUAGUUGCCAGCAGUUCGGCUGGGCACUCUAAAGGGACUGCCGGUGUUAAACCGGAGGAAGGUGGGGAUGACGUCAAGUCCUCAUGGCCUUUAUGACCAGGGCUACACACGUACCACAAUGGCCGAUACAAAGGGCAGCGACACUGCGAGGUGAAGCCAAUCCCGUAAAAUCGGUCUCAGUCCGGAUUGGAGUCUGCAACUCGACUCCAUGAAGUUGGAAUCGCUAGUAAUCGUGGAUCAGCAUGCCACGGUGAAUACGUUCCCGGGCCUU